rnacentral:rRNA from 1 species
GACCCCGCACAAGCGGCGGAGCAUGUGGUUUAAUUCGAUGAUACGCGAGGAACCUUACCAGGGCUUAAAUGUAACGGGACAGAUCUAGAGAUAGAUCCUUCUUCGGACUCAUUACAAGGUGCUGCAUGGUUGUCGUCAGCUCGUGCCGUGAGGUGUCAGGUUAAGUCCUAUAACGAGCGCAACCCCCCAUCGUUAGUUGCCAACGAGUAAUGUCGGGAACUCUAACGAAACUGCCGGUGCAAACCGUGAGGAAGGUGGGAUGACGUCAAAUCAUCACGGCCCUUACGUCCUGGGCUACACACGUGCUACAAUGGUCGGUACAGAGAGCAGCCACUACGCGAGUAGGAGCAAAUCUUCAAAGCCGAUCUC